rnacentral:rRNA from 1 species
UGCCAGCAGCCGCGGUAAUACAGAGGUCCCAAGCGUUGUUCGGAUUCACUGGGCGUAAAGGGUGCGUAGGUGGCAAGGAAAGUUUGAUGUGAAAUCUCCGAGCUCAACUCGGAAACUGCAUUGGAUACUACCUAGCUAGAGGAUUGGAAGGGGAACUGGAAUUCUCGGUGUAGCGGUGAAAUGCGUAGAUAUCGAGAGGAACACCAGUGGCGAAGGCGAGUUCCUGGACAAUUCCUGACACUGAGGCACGAAAGCUAGGGUAGCAAACAGGAUUAGAUA